rnacentral:rRNA from 1 species
UACAGAGGUGGCAAGCGUUGUUCGGAAUUACUGGGCGUAAAGGGCGCGUAGGCGGUCUUCUAAGUCCUGUGUGAAAUCCCUCGGCUCAACUGAGGAACUGCACGGGAUACUGGAAGACUUGAGUUCGGGAGAGGGAAGCGGAAUUCCGGGUGUAGCGGUGAAAUGCGUAGAUAUCUGGAGGAACACCGGUGGCGAAGGCGGCAUCCUGGACCGAUAUUGACGCUGAGGCGCGAAAGCCAGGGGAGCAAACGGG